rnacentral:rRNA from 1 species
UACGUAGGGUGCAAGCGUUAAUCGGAAUUACUGGGCGUAAAGCGUGCGCAGGCGGUGAUGUAAGCCAGGGGUGAAAUCCCCGGGCUUAACCUGGGAACUGCAUUUGUGACUGCAUCGCUGGAGUGCGGCAGAGGGGGAUGGAAUUCCGCGUGUAGCAGUGAAAUGCGUAGAUAUGCGGAGGAACACCGAUGGCGAAGGCAAUCCCCUGGGCCUGCACUGACGCUCAUGCACGAAAGCGUGGGGAGCAAACAGG